rnacentral:rRNA from 1 species
GACGAACGCUGGCGGCGUGCUUAACACAUGCGAGUCGAACGGAAAGGCCCUGCUUGCAGGGUACUCGAGUGGCGAACGGGUGAGUAACACGUGGGUGAUCUGCCCUGCACUUCGGGAUAAGCCUGGGAAACUGGGUCUAAUACCGGAUAGGAGCCAUUUUUAGCGUGAUGGUUGGAAAGUUUUUUCGGUGUAGGAUGAGCUCGCGGCCUAUCAGCUUGUUGGUGGGGUAAUGGCCUACCAAGGCGGCGACGGGUAGCCGGCCUGAGAGGGUGGACGGCCACAUUGGGACUGAGAUACGGCCCAGACUCCUACGGGAGGCAGCAGUGGGGAAUAUUGCACAAUGGGCGCAAGCCUGAUGCAGCGACGCCGCGUGGGGGAUGACGGCCUUCGGGUUGUAAACUCCUUUCGCUAGGGACGAAGCUUUUUGUGACGGUACCUAGAUAAGAAGCACCGGCUAACUACGUG